CCUACGGGAGGCAGCAGUAGGGAAUAUUGCUCAAUGGGGGAAACCCUGAAGCAGCAACGCCGCGUGGAGGAUGAAGGUUUUAGGAUUGUAAACUCCUUUUGUGAGAGAAGAUAAUGACGGUAUCUCACGAAUAAGCACUGGCUAACUCCGUGCCAGCAGCCGCGGUACUACGGAGGGUGCAAGCGUUAUUCGGAAUCACUGGGCGUAAAGGGGGUGCAGGCGGGUUUGUAAGUCCGCUGUGAAAUUCUUAGGCUUAACUACAGAACUGGAUUUGAAACUAUGAGUCUAGAGUGUGGGAGAGGUAGGCGGAAUUCGUGGUGUAGGGGUGAAAUCCGUAGAUAUCAAGAAGAAUACUGAUUGCGAAGGCAGCCUACUGGAACACUACUGACGCUGAUGCACGAAAGCGUGGGGAGCAAACAGGAUUAGAUACCCCAGUAGUC
rnacentral:rRNA from 1 species